GCUCUUUCCCCCCCUCCAUGAAAGCGGGAUGGCAUCCCUUUUACUCCGCAUGACAUUUGCCAGGGAGGGAGGUGGUGUGUUUAACCCAUUAAUUUGCCUUCCACGGUCCCUCUGGGCAAUAAUUGCAGCAGAGACGUGUGGCUUCGGGUGUGAGCACCCUGUUCCGUGGGGUAGGUGAUGGUUGCCACGCUUCGUCCACAUUUUUAGGCGCACGCGCGCCCCCACAGCAGGGCUGGGAAACCUGGAUCCAUUUCCAAAAGGGGGCAGAGUAAUGGAAACAGUCUCCCCACUCUCCAAGCUCUUUCCCAAGGGCAAAGAUCCCUGUCUCCAUUGAGGAACCCCCCUUUUUUUCCCCUCCCCCUGCCUACUCCGGAGAAAGAAAGCUGUGUCCCUUGCAACUGCCAGCACGGCUCCUGGUGGUGGUAGUGGUGGUUGGUAAUGGUGGUGACGUCCUCCAUUUUGUCGGAAGCUGCUGCAGGCAGGGAACUUGGGACCACUUCAGACCAACAUGGGGCUCUAUGAGGUGCCUGGUUUCAGAGCCUCUCGCCUCAGGGUCACAGCAAAGCGCGGGGGGGAACCUCUGGCAAUGCCCUAAAAGGGAUAAAUCGAACCCAGAGCCGCCAAGGCGGCAAAGCACCGAGAACCACGCUCCCCACCCUCCCUCAGCCAAAAUGGAGGAUGCGCACUUCCCUUGCGCGGUUGGUUCCCCGUUCCCCAUCCAUGGGAUUGACGCCCGCUUCUUCGAGGACGGGGGCGUGCUCAGUCUUCUGCCUGGUUGGUUAACCCACCGACUACCCCGUGGGUUGUCCCUCUCUCUCUCCUCGACAAAAACGGGGAGAAAGAGGCGGGAAACAACGCCACACAGUCUUCUCCACCUUGCAGCUAUUCCACAAACGUACACGCAGCAGCACGGUAUUUUAUUCCCUGGAGAAAGGCUUAUUAUGUACGGGGGGAAAGGGAGCGGGCAAGAGCUGUUGGCCCCAUUUCUGUCUCAGAUAUGCAAGAGCUUCUCGCGAUGCCAAGUCCCUGGGUAACUUGCGCGGGAGCUCAGUUCGAAGAGUUUUAAGUUCGCUCGGUUGCCCUCGGUGGCUAAUUUCCCUGCGCCGCAGACGCGAGCAUUCUGAACGCGGCGCUGUCGCUGUACCAUAUCUAGUUCCCUCCUGCCACCAGCCCUGAACAGAGACGCAGGCAACAGCCAACAGGUCUAGCCAAAUGCGUAUGUGAAACUAUUAAUAGGAUGCUGCCGAUUUAAUGGGAAAUGCGAAAGCUUGCAUUUCUAGGUGGGCAAACAACGUCGCAGAAAGUCUAUAAACUCUAAUGGAUAGUGAAGGGGAGAACUUAAUUUUUCACUUGAUGGCCUAUAUUAAAAGGCUGGACAAUGAGAUUAUCUGCUUUGAUAACUGCAUUUCCUGUUACAUUAUUUUCAAUUGGCGUUUGAUAGUGGAGACAGAAAAGGAAGAAGUUUUGUUGGUUUAGUCAUUAUCCGCAGCAUCUUUCAGGACUUAUGUUGUAUUGUGUGGGUUUUUUUGGUUUUUUUUAAGACUGACCAUUUCCAUUGCUUUCUCCAUAUAGGAAUCUAAAUGCUGUACUCUGAAAUCUGAAAACCUUGACUUUUAUUUAAGGGUCAUUACUUGGGAUUCAGAGGCACUUCUGAAGAAACGCGGGUAGGAUCCCACAAUUUAAAGAAAUGGUUCCCAAAGAUUUUUGGGCCACCGCUCCCUUGGUUCCAUAAACUCAUUCCUUUUUCUGUAAAAAGCAUUAUUCAGAAGAGCGGUCCACUAAGGAAGAUGAUAACACAAUAAAAUUGAAAGCA